rnacentral:rRNA from 1 species
UCCACGCCGUAAACGAUGAAUACUCGUUGUCUGCGAUAUACUGUAGGCGACUGAGCGAAAGCAUUAAGUAUUCCACCUGGGGAGUACGUUCGCAAGAAUGAAACUCAAAGGAAUUGACGGGGGCCCGCACAAGCGGAGGAACAUGUGGUUUAAUUCGAUGAUACGCGAGGAACCUUACCCGGGUUUAAAUGCAGGACGUAAGACCGAGAAAUCGGUCCCCCUUCGGGCGGACUGCAAGGUGCUGCAUGGCUGUCGUCAGCUCGUGCCGUGAGGCCGGGUUAAGUCCCAUAACGAGCGCAACCCCUAUCAUUAGUUGCUAACAGGUUAAGCUGAGGACUCUAGUGAGACUGCCACCGUAAGGUGUGAGGAGGUG